GUCGAGCGGACAGAAGGGAGCUUGCUCCCGGAUGUUAGCGGCGGACGGGUGAGUAACACGUGGGUAACCUGCCUGUAAGACUGGGAUAACUCCGGGAAACCGGAGCUAAUACCGGAUAGUUCCUUGAACCGCAUGGUUCAAGGAUGAAAGACGGUUUCGGCUGUCACUUACAGAUGGACCCGCGGCGCAUUAGCUAGUUGGUGAGGUAACGGCUCACCAAGGCGACGAUGCGUAGCCGACCUGAGAGGGUGAUCGGCCACACUGGGACUGAGACACGGCCCAGACUCCUACGGGAGGCAGCAGUAGGGAAUCUUCCGCAAUGGACGAAAGUCUGACGGAGCAACGCCGCGUGAGUGAUGAAGGUUUUCGGAUCGUAAAGCUCUGUUGUUAGGGAAGAACAAGUGCAAGAGUAACUGCUUGCACCUUGACGGUACCUAACCAGAAAGCCACGGCUAACUACGUGCCAGCAGCCGCGGUAAUACGUAGGUGGCAAGCGUUGUCCGGAAUUAUUGGGCGUAAAGGGCUCGCAGGCGGUUUCUUAAGUCUGAUGUGAAAGCCCCCGGCUCAACCGGGGAGGGUCAUUGGAAACUGGGAAACUUGAGUGCAGAAGAGGAGAGUGGAAUUCCACGUGUAGCGGUGAAAUGCGUAGAGAUGUGGAGGAACACCAGUGGCGAAGGCGACUCUCUGGUCUGUAACUGACGCUGAGGAGCGAAAGCGUGGGGAGCGAACAGGAUUAGAUACCCUGGUAGUCCACGCCGUAAACGAUGAGUGCUAAGUGUUAGGGGGUUUCCGCCCCUUAGUGCUGCAGCUAACGCAUUAAGCACUCCGCCUGGGGGAGUACGGUCGCAAGACUGAAACUCAAAGGAAUUGACGGGG
rnacentral:rRNA from 1 species